GACGAACGCUGGCGGCGUGCUUAACACAUGCAAGUCGAACGGAAAGGCCCUGCUUUUGUGGGGUGCUCGAGUGGCGAACGGGUGAGUAACACGUGAGUAACCUGCCCUUGACUUUGGGAUAACUUCAGGAAACUGGGGCUAAUACCGGAUAGGAGCUCCUGCUGCAUGGUGGGGGUUGGAAAGUUUCGGCGGUUGGGGAUGGACUCCCGGCUUAUCAGCUUGUUGGUGGGGUAGUGGCUUACCAAGGCUUUGCGGGGUAGCCGGCCUGAGAGGGUGACCGGCCACAUUGGGACUGAGAGACGGCCCAGACUCCUACGGGAGGCAGCAGGGGGGAAUAUUGCACAAUGGGCGGAAGCCUGAUGCAGCAACGCCGCGUGCGGGAUGACGGCCUUCGGGUUGUAAACCGCUUUCGCCUGUGACGAAGCGUGAGUGACGGUAAUGGGUAAAGAAGCACCGGCUAACUACGUG
rnacentral:rRNA from 1 species